rnacentral:rRNA from 1 species
AGUGAACGCUGGCGGUAGGCCUAACACAUGCAAGUCGAACGGCAGCACAGUAAGAGCUUGCUCUUACGGGUGGCGAGUGGCGGACGGGUGAGGAAUACAUCGGAAUCUACUUUUUCGUGGGGGAUAACGUAGGGAAACUUACGCUAAUACCGCAUACGACCUACGGGUGAAAGCAGGGGAUCUUCGGACCUUGCGCGAUUGAAUGAGCCGAUGUCGGAUUAGCUAGUUGGCGGGGUAAAGGCCCACCAAGGCGACGAUCCGUAGCUGGUCUGAGAGGAUGAUCAGCCGCACUGGAACUGAGACACGGUCCAGACUCCUACGGGAGGCGGCAGUGGGGAAUAUUGGACAAUGGGCGCAAGCCUGAUCCAGCCAUACCGCGUGGGUGAAGAAGGCCUUCGGGUUGUAAAGCCCUUUUGUUGGGAAAGAAAAGCAGCAGGUUAAUACCCCGCUGUUCUGACGGUACCCAAAGAAUAAGCACCGGCUAACUUCGUG